rnacentral:sRNA from 1 species
AUAUUGUCUGUGUGAGCAGAGGGGAGAGCGGCCACCGCCGCUGCCGCUUCCACCACAGUUUGAAGAAAACAGGUCUGAAACAAGGUCUUACCCCCAGCUGCUUCUGAACACAGUGACUGCCAGAUCUCCAAACAUCAAGUCCAGCUUUGUCCGCCAACCUGUCUGACAUGUCGGGACCCGUGCCAAGCAGGGCCAGAGUUUACACAGAUGUUAAUACACACAGACCUCGAGAAUACUGGGAUUACGAGUCACAUGUGGUGGAAUGGGGAAAUCAAGAUGACUACCAGCUGGUUCGAAAAUUAGGCCGAGGUAAAUACAGUGAAGUAUUUGAAGCCAUCAACAUCACAAAUAAUGAAAAAGUUGUUGUUAAAAUUCUCAAGCCAGUAAAAAAGAAGAAAAUUAAGCGUGAAAUAAAGAUUUUGGAGAAUUUGAGAGGAGGUCCCAACAUCAUCACACUGGCAGACAUUGUAAAAGACCCUGUGGUGAGUAUAGUAGGUGUUAGCAAGGCCGCCAGAGCUGAGAUGGUGUUUGACCUGGAGCACAACUGGCCUCUUUUUGUUCCCUCUCCCAACCCUCAUCAUUAAGUCC